UACGGAGGAUCCAAGCGUUAUCCGGAUUUAUUGGGUUUAAAGGGUGCGUAGGCGGGUUGAUAAGUCAGUGGUGAAAGCCUGCAGCUUAACUGCAGAAUUGCCAUUGAUACUGUCAGUCUUGAAUACAGUUGAGGUGGGCGGAAUGUGUCAAGUAGCGGUGAAAUGCUUAGAUAUGACACAGAACACCAAUUGCGAAGGCAGCUCACUAAGCUGUUAUUGACGCUGAGGCACGAAAGCGUGGGGAGCAAACAGG
rnacentral:rRNA from 1 species